UGGUUAAGGAAAAUAUUAUAAAUCAGGAGAGCACAGUGAUAAGAUAAGAGCACAUUUAGAAUGUUGAUGAAAUUGGAAUGUGUCUUGGGAUAUAUGGUGAAUAUUCAUUCUUCCAAGAAAAACUCAUCUAAUCUCCAUCUAAUAAUUCAGCAUUCUAAUUACAUGGCAAGAUUUGAAUUAAUAUGUUUACUAAGGACAUGAAUUUUAAUUUUACUUAACCCCACCAUAAUUUGAUUCAUAACAUGAAUAAUUGUAUUCUUCUGAAAUACUUGGGGACUCUGUGAAUUUACACAAAUAAAAGCACAUGAGUUGGAAAUUGACUUUUGGUUUUACGCCAAGUCUAGUCUCUUUACAUUUCUGUUGUGUCCUUGUAUAUUAAAAAUGUAAAAAUAUUUUUGAAAUAUUUAAAAGACAGAGCCGAAACAUUCAUAUUACUUCUUAAUGAAAACUUUUCUUCUUGCACAAUCCCUGGAAAACUGUACAAUUUUGUAAAAUACUAGAUUUAGUUAAUUCUAUGAAUAGAAAAACAAGCACUUUUGAGUAAGUAAGAUUACGAUUAAGAAGUAAAAAAUAAAAUCUAUUAGGAACUGAUUUGGUAAAGGAAGAAAAUGAUUCUAUAGCCAGAUAACUAAUUCCUUCUUAAUUAAUCCCAUUAGAUCUUAAAGACUUAGUGUAACAUUAGAGGUAAAUAUUAAAAAUAUAAAAUGAUUUUUAUUUUUGGCUAUAGUAGAAAUUUAUAAACUUUGAUUCCAGCUGCCUCUCCACUCACAACUAAAUUUUUUCUGAUAUCAAAACUUUUAUUACAAAAAAAGCUCUCAAAUGUGUUCUCAUCAUACAGCUGUUUCAGUUAGCCUUUAUCUCAUUAGAAUAAAAUUAAAAAGCAAUGCCUGAGAUCUAUGCCCUUUUAAUAAUCCAAAAUCACUGGUGUGGACCUUAGUAAUUAAACUGCUUCCAAGCCUUGGCAAGUUAGUUACUAUGAUUUAAAUGUCAUUAUUUUUAUUUUGAAACUAGUGUGGGAAUCUAACAAGAUUCAUUGACAUUUUGCCAAAUUAGUAGUAUUCUAGAGAAGAAGGAACACUGGGGAAAAAAAAAUACUUUGGCCAAAUGUCUGUUUUACAAUUAAGAAACCCUAUAAUGUUUAAUGUUUAAUGUUAAUUAAACAUUGAUGUUUAAUGUUAAUAUUUCCCAGAACUUUAGUUCCUUUAUCAGAAUUAUAGAUACUAUCUUUAUAAGUUUUGAUGAUUUAACAAAAUGUCAUCUUUUAAAAAUAUGUUGUAAACCAAAUAUUAGCAUGCAACUAACCUACUACUACAGCAAAGUAUUCCCAAUUAACUGAAUCCAAAUUUCUGAAAUGAAGCAACUGAUGGUAUAACAAAAAAAGUAAAAAUAGUAUGUAAUAAUAAAAAAGAUUAAUCGUUUAAAUUUUAUUACAUUUACUUUUCUUUUUUCCUGUCAGCUAAAGUUAUUUUUUAAUUCUGUUUAUCUUUUCAAAAAAUCAGCUCUUUAUUACUCUUUUGUAUUUUUUAGUUUUUGCUUCAUUUAUUUAUGCUCUGAUCAUUUGUAUUUCAUUUCUUCUACUAAUUUUGGCUUUAGAUUGUGUUUUUCUAGUUCUUUGAGGUGUAAGGUUAGGUUGUUUAUUUGAGAUCCCUCUACUUUUUUCAGUUAAGCAUUUAUUGCUGUAAACUUCUCUCUUAGAACUGCUUUUACUCUUCCCCACAAGUUUUGCUAUGUUGUAUUUCCUUUUUUUUUUUUAUCUCAAGGAAUUUUUUACUUCCUUUUUUAUUUCUUUAUUGCUACACUGGUUGAUUAUAGGCAUGUUGUUUGCUUUUUAUUUAUUCAUACAGUUUCUAAAGUUCCACUUGUUAUAAAUUUCUAGUUUAAUCCACUGUGGUCAGAAAAUAUGCUUGAUAAGAUUUCAGCUUUAAAAUUUGGUAAGAUUUUUGUGUGGCCUAACAUAAUUCAUGCUGGAUAAUUUUUAAAUGUGCUAUUGAGAAAAAUAUGUAUUCUGCUGCUCUAAGGUGGAAUGUUCUGUAAAUGUCUGUUGGGUCCAUUUGAUUUAGAGUACAGUUUAACUCAAUGUUUCUUUGUUCAUUUUCUGUCUGGGCGAUCUAUCUAUUGCUGAAAGUGUAGUGCUGAAGUUAGUAAUUUUUGUAUUAGAGUCAAUCUCUCCCUUUAGGUCUGUAAAUAUUUGCUUUAUAUAUUUAGGUGUUCCAAUAUUAGGUGCAUAUAUAUUUACAAUUG
rnacentral:lncRNA from 1 species